CUUUACUAUAGCGUGUCAUUGAUAUACGGUGUUUUUUGUUUAGCAUAGGUGGGACUCGGUGAAGUGCUGGCGCUAGCUGGCAUGGAGAGGACAAGUGAAAUACCACCCUGAAGACGUUUUAUAUCUAAUCCUGGAAUAACCAACCGGGAGACAGUGGCUCGUGGGUAGUUUAACUGGGGCGGUUGCCUCCUAAAUGGUAACGGAGGCGUUUAUUAAGGUCAGCUUAGCUCCGAUGGAAACGGAGUGGGACGUGCAAACGCACAAGCUGGCUUGACUGCAAGGCUGGCACGCCGCGCAGGUACGAAAGUAGAAGUUAGUGAUCCGACCAUCCUUCGUGGAAGGGUGGAAGCUCAACGGAUAAAAGUUA
rnacentral:rRNA from 1 species